rnacentral:lncRNA from 1 species
GUCUUUGCUUCCUUCAAACAUCUUGAUGUAUAUGUAGAUUCAGUGUCGGUCUAGUCUGAAUAUAAGACCUAUAUUCAAUGUCGGGCUAGUCUGAACAGAAGACCCAAUACCUAUGCAGAAUAAGUUAUUUAAUACAUUUCUUCAAGAUUGACUUACAAUGCCUUUUUUAAUGAGCAAAGGGCAGUAUCAUUAUAAGCAUGAGCGUGAUCCCAAUUCCCAAAUUACCUGAAAUACAGCAAUAAAAAGCUCUUAUUUAGUGUCACAUGAAAUGAAAAACAAAUGUCAACAGCCCGAGUAUCGCUCUAGAAAACAAAAGCUAUUGAAGUCUAACUUAGGUAAAAAAAAUAUCCAUUAGUAGAAAUAGUAGUAAUUUUUCACAAUAAUAACAUCUUAGGGAGCACAUGAAUUAUGACUCAGAUAUAUAUUAGAUAACAUUGACUCGGGGUGAUUUUAGAAUAAAAAGAAGUGAACUCAUAGCAUGACUCAGACUACCCGUUGAUAUAUGGUCAUAAGAUACUUGACUGAAAAAAUCCAUUUAAAUAUUUUAUUAGAAAUUAUUACCUCAAUGAUCAAUUUGUAUCUCGCUUCUAACAUCAUAUGGCUAGUGGCGGAUCUAGGAAUUCAAGUUUGUGGGUGUUGAAUUUUUUUUGUACAUAAAAUUAAUGGGUGCUUUUGUAAAUUUUCUAUAUAACUAUACAUACUCUGCGUCGAGGUUAAUGGGUGCUCGAACACCCAAUUUCAAUGAGUAGAUCCGCCCCUGCAUAUGGCAGUAGUUGCACACACACUCGAUGGAAAAGAUACUGGAGUGAGUUCUUGAUACUUAUGUUAUUGAACAAGCAUGCAGCAUAAUGAAAAGAUUAAACACAUUCAGAAACUUCUUAUUUGUUCUAACGCCAAGUUGAAUGACAAUGUACAUUCGACCAUCAAACAAGGCAAGGCAUGUGAAAAUAUCCGGGGAAACAGGGCAUGAGUGAUGGAUCCCUUUGUGAUUACAACAGAUCAACUGAUAAAAUGUAACUAUAACAGCCAGACAGUUAGUACGGGGAGUGUUGAUAGUUUAUUUUUAUUGAUAUCUCAGGUUCCUCUUCGGGUGGCUACUGAGCAGGUCUUUCUUUUUUCUGAUAAUUCUACUGGGCAGGUCUCUGUUUACAUGCUUAACCCAAAAGCUUCCAUUUCAUCAAUAUUUUUUUAAGGUAGCUUUUAUUAGGAAGCUUUAGAAAAGUACCAAAGGGAUAUUUUCAAAGCACAAGCAAAACAUCAUAAGAAAAAAUUACAAAUAAAGAUUCUACAACUUCAUAAAUCCGUCAGCUGCUCCAAGUCUACUACUACCCUUUCAUUACACCAAAAGUAUAGAUUCUGCAAAUAAUUAUUUUAGUGUAGGAAUCUGGGUAAAAGAUCUUCAAAGCAUCUUUUAUUGCUUUCUAGCCAAAUGGUCCACAUCAUGCAUAAGGAAAGGGUCAUCCACAUCUUUUUCUUCCUGUUGCCUAUUGAUUAACCCUGCUAACUUUCCAGCAGGCUUCUAACACUGUUUGGCAUUGCCCACUUCACAGCAUAGAUGUUAAGGAAUAGGUCCCAAAAGAUCUGUCAGCAAUGAAGAAACAAAUGAUUUACAGACUCCAGGCUUUCUUCAUAGAAAAAAUAUCUACUGCAUAAGGAAAAAUCUCUUCUUUAUAGCAUAUCUUGGGUAAGAUCUAUUCUAGGCUAUAGUACAUCCAAAUCCAGCAACUUUUGUUGAUUCUUUGGUCAUCAAAAGCAUCUUCCAUGGUCAUGAUUCCUCCAGCUUCCAAAGCCUCCAUUUCAUCAAUGUUAAACUCUCCUAAUAUAUAAAGUUUUACCUCUUUUUGAAAAAUCCCUGUCUUCGGACCUUUCCUCUACUCUCCCCUCUUCUUCACUAAGCCUCUCAAUUAACCCCCUCAACGCCUCCUUUUGUAAACUUUGAUCUCUUUUAUUUUCCUUAAUUAAACCCACAUUUACCUUCAUGUUAGUCUAAUAAUUAGGGAAAAUAUCCUUGUUUAUUUAGUUCAUCACUACUCACAAUUAAACCCACAUUUACCUUCAGGUUAGUCUAAUAAUUAGGAAAAAUAUCCUUGUUUAUUUAGUUCCGUCAGAACUAUUAUUAAUGAAAAUUAACACUGAACUGAAGCUAUCACUACUCAUAUUUGUCCAUAUCAUCUAGCACUUUCUAUGUUCUAUUGCGUAGCAUCCUUCAUUGGUCAUGCUUAAAUAUUUUACUAUCCUAUUCAAUCGAGUUUAUGACCCUUUUGUUAGAACAAACAACGUUCUAAAGUAACUUAUGAUUAUUAACAAUUUUUAUUAGUAAAACACAAAGAGGAAGAAAAUAAAGUUCAAAUAAAUGAAUUCCUGAAAAAGCACAUAGCUUAAGACAUACAAAGUUAAGUAAAUUAAUCUAUACAUGCCAUAUACAUGAAUGUCACAUUGAAAACAUAAAACAGAAUUAAGAAAUAAGCAAUAAUCAACGAACUCCAAAUGAAUACAAUUUGUUUCAAACGAGGACCAAAUGAAAGAUGGAAUCGAAGGUAAAAAUAAUUUCCUACGAAAUUCCGAAUUAACUCCAAAAAUAAGGUAGCGAAUACAAUUAACUUUUGACCGAAUGUGAACCUAUUUAACCUCAAAGUCAUACAACAGAAUCUUAAAAUGGAUCAUGUCAGCUGAAUACAUUCCAGAUUCUACUCAAAAGAUCGACUUUACAAAAAGAAUCAAUCUCAUAAUCUAAUUUGAGUAACGUACAGAAUCUUAAAAUGGAUUAUGUCAGCUGAAUACAUUCCAGAUUCUACUCAAAAGAUCGAAUUUACAAAAAGAAUCAAUCUCAUAAUCUAAUUUGAGUAACGUACAAACCACAAUAAUUUGAAAUUAAGAUAUAUGAACAAGAGUAAGAAGAAAAGACAAAAACCUGGAAAAUGAAACUGAUAAUGGUUUACCUGAGUUAAUGUCCUGCCAUGGGCAUAAUAAGAAGAUCAACGGUACAAGUUUUCUCAUACUAUACUCUGUAUCGCCCUAGUGGGAUCUUGAAAUAGAGUGUCUGACAUAUUCCUUCACUUGAUUCUCUCAAUCCUAUAUAGCAGAGGUAGUUGGUAACGCUUGAGAGAAACUGAGAAAGAGCAGCAAACAAGGGAAAUUUAACAAUCUCGAAGCAGAGUUGGUCGGCCAAAUAAAAGGAUAUGAACGAAAUUACAAAAGCAAACUACAGAAGAAAUUGAUCUAUGUGCAGAAUAAAUUAUAAAAACCUAAAGGCAAAAAAAAAUGGAAGAAUAAAACUCACUCUAUAACUAUAACAGUGUCUAACUAUAAAAUCAUAUACGGUGAGAUGGAGAAGUAGUCCUUCAAAAUUCCAGAAAGAUAAGAACAAAAGAAGUUAUUGGAGACCGAUCAUUUUCAGUCGUGGAAUAAGCUUAGCGCAAAUCCAUAUGUCGUUUCAAUGGCAAAGAGAACAACACAUGCGGCAAUCAAAUUGUUUGGUGCCAUCAGAAUUGGAUCUUAGUUCAGUCGGAGAACUCGUCGAGGAAGGAACAAAGCUGGAUUGGAAGACGAAUGCAGAAGCAGAUGGAGAAGGGCAAAAAUGUAAUAUCCCGUGCAUGUGAAUCGCGCCAUAUCCUUGAAGCAAAUCUUUGAGUGACUCAUGAGAAACUUAAUAUAAGCAAAUUUACGAAUUUGC